UAAAAUGCGAUGAUGAGGAAAGUAAGUCAACCAUCAUUUUCUUACAGAGAGCUUCGGUAGCUGAAAAGAAGCAGAAAAUAGUUGAUUGAAAAUGGCCUUUGAGCAGCAAAGUCGACUUUCAGUAAAUGAAUUAGACCUUGACGAGAUUUGGCACUCGUUAUAAAUGUCAAAGUAUAAGAAAGAUUCAUUCUCUCCGUACUUAUUGAGGCUGAUAAUGUGAAUUAUUAGUAAAUUAAGGUGGUAACACGAGAUAUACCUCGUCCUUAGG
rnacentral:ncRNA from 1 species